rnacentral:rRNA from 1 species
UACGUAGGGUGCGAGCGUUGUCCGGAAUUAUUGGGCGUAAAGAGCUCGUAGGCGGUUUGUCGCGUCGGCCGUGAAAACUGGAGGCUUAACCUCCAGCUUGCGGUCGAUACGGGCAGACUUGAGUUCGGUAGGGGAGACUGGAAUUCCUGGUGUAGCGGUGAAAUGCGCAGAUAUCAGGAGGAACACCGGUGGCGAAGGCGGGUCUCUGGGCCGAUACUGACGCUGAGGAGCGAAAGCCAGGGGAGCAAACGGG